AAAACGCUUAUCUAAAAUUUUCUUAUUUCCCUCAAUAAAACUUCCCCUAAAUUCUUUUCCGCCCAAACAUAUUAGGAUUCCCCCUCCCCAAAAUCAACUGCCCAUUCCAAAAUUAUGAUUCAUCAAAUAAACUUCCCUCUACAAACUAAGGCAACUCCAUCUCUUGUUUUUGAACGAAUUUUGAUUCAUUUAUUGCCUAAAUCUAGGGUUGCGUGGGUACAAUAAGGAAAAUGAAAGUGAUUCUAUUCAACGUUGUCGGCGAAUGAGCAGUCUCUGGUGAACAGGUAAUUGAAUAUACGUGUUUAAGUUUUUGUAAUCAAAUUGUGCUAAAUGUUCAUUUUGUCUUUUGUAUCACCAAAUGAAUACCAUUCCUACGAAUUCGAUCGAAGGUCAGAAAACUAAAACAAGUGGUCUCCAGCAAGAAGGUACUCGAGGUCUUUUGUUUAUUAUUGAUUAUAUAUUUUUAAUUGACCCGUACUGACGUUUCAUAUUGCUUUUGAUAAGUUUAAAGUGUUUAUACAUGAAGAUUACCUGGAAAUUUGAUUUGGGUUUGAAUUUAUUUGGCUUAAGUUGUUUGAUUGAUCCAUAUUCUAGGGUUUAAUAACUCGGUGUUUUGUAGUUGUGGUAUAAUUUAUUAUAUUUUUGCAACUAGGCAUGGCUAAAUGGAGUUGAUAAUUAAAAUUAAUGCUGGGCUGGGAAUGGAGUUUGGGAUGUACAAUAGUUUCUUAAAUAUAUGGAUUCUUGUACACAUUGUAUCAUUAAAAAACAUCUUUGUGUCUUCUUCACUUCUCACACUACCUCUUCCCUCACUAAUUUUUUCUUGCUUGUUUUUGUACACAAACAAUCGUUAAAAAAUCUAGAUACAAUCAGGCUGGAUUGUUGUCUCAAAAUUUCUGCAUUUAUCUUGAGUAUUUGAAGUCUAAGAGGUUGCGACUUAUGUGGUUCAGUUUUUCUAAUUCGUAAUUAUUGGGUCAAUACAAUGCCCAUAGUUCUACCAUGUUUGCUGGGUUUUACUUGUGGGUUUAUGUUAUAUCAUCGGAAAACUACAAGAGAUUUGGGAAAAUUAAUGGACCAGAUGUUGGAAACUAUUAUGAUUUGGGGGUUAAUGUUAAUUCAUUUGCCCCUAACAUCUACGACAAUGAUAUUUAAGAUGAUUUCUUAAUGUUAUUGCAGGUGUGUGCUCUAUCCCUUUACAUAAGUUCUUAUUUAAUAUUUUCUUUUGAUUGUUACAAGUCUUGCUUUGUUUGUGAGCUGUAGAAGGUUAAAAGUCUCAAACCAGUAGAUCCGGCCUCUUGUUGCAAAGUCAAUCACCUUGUUCUCUCACUAGCAAUACUCAGUUUCCUGUUACCUCAAACUUACAAGCAGUUAUCUUCUUGUUAGAGACUCAAUACUCGAUUUCGUUCUUUCUCAAGGCAUCAACGCAAGAACAUGGGGCUGAACUACAUCAUCUUAAUUCAGAUCCAAUCCAAUCGAGACCAAUUGUACAAGAGUUGUCUACCUUGUACAAACUAAGCUUCAUUUAAUGAAAUUUAUCGUGUUUCAUAUGCAUAUUGGAACAUCCAAAGGGCUUCAAAUUAUCUCGAUUUCUUCCUCGAUGUGUUGUUACAUGUGAAAAGUUGUCCAGGAGGAAAAAGUAUGUAAUUUACUAACUAUUGGGGAGUUCUCGUUGUAUGCUAUUCCAAUGCUGGUAAUAAGUAGACUAUUGCAGGAUUGUGAAAGAGGUUCAUGACCGUUUUGAAAUUUUGAAUUUUUAUUCAAGCAUUUGUUAGUUUUGUAUUUUAUAUGUUUGAUAUGUAAACUUAAUAAGAUGAUUACUAGACAUUUGUAUGUAAAUAUUUAGAAUAUUUAUGAAAUAUGAUCUAGCUUUGAAUCGAA